CACGCUCUCCGAUCUCGUGUCUGUUUCUCUUUCUCUCUCCCUCUCUUGCGCUGUCCCUCAUUCAUGCACUCUUCCAUCUUUUUGCCAUUGUGCCAGCUCAAUUUAAAUGUAUCUGCUCUGUAUCUGUUCAAGUGGAGAUAAUCCAUGCAAAUCAGGAGCCGUGGCUCUCAAUGCCUGGUUCACAGAGAGGACUCAGCUUGAGGAGGUCACUCGUUCACAGCCGCUCCUCCCAUUAUAUUUUUCCCCUUAUUGCAGAACUGCUGUAUGUAUACAGUGACUGAAAGGACUCAAUUUACUGCAACUGCUGCCUGGCUUUACUUACAACUUUUUUUUUAUAAAGGAACUUACCUCCAUCUGUCUUUUCAAGUUUCAGGGUAGAAAGGCUCCCUUUAACUCCUGAAGACAGUAAAUCACAGUCUGUGUGGUGGUUCUCAGAAGACACUUAAAGGACUGAACUGGAUGCUCUACAUAGCACCCUUGCCAAAAGGGUUCGGAAAUGACUUCCAGCUUCCCACAGUAAUAAAAUGGCACUGUUUGGCAUCUUCGAGGUUACAGACCACUUACUCUAAACUUCACAAAUGGUUCUGAAGAGUAUGGAGCCUACGUAGACUCAUAAGAGCCCAAUGUUUCCAAAGGACAUUAAUUUUGAUUUCUCUGAUGAAGGCUUGUGGCUGUUCUUAUGCUUUACAAAACAUUACCAAAUCAGAGUCGAAAAGAAAACUUUGGAAUUUGAAGGGAGCUUGAUAACUGUGUUCUAUGUGGAUCCAGCAUUACAACUGAUAAGGUAAGGGCAAUUAUAUCUCUUUGUUUGAUCAUUAAAGUCAGAGUAUAAAGAAAUCUACUACUACUCCAUCUUCCCUUUCAAAUGUAGAUUACUAGGGCAAUCUUGCCAGUGUAUUUCAGGAUCUUGAACUUGAGGGAUAGAAUUGUCUGGUGCCUGCUUUAAAAAGAGAUAGCCAGCCCCUGCAAUAACUGUCGGUACAGUUUCUAGCUAAUGAAAUGCAGAGAAAUGAGGAAGACGGUGAGCUGUGCUUGUGUGGUAACAGGUGAUUUCAGAGGAAAAUGUCAAAGUAGCUCAUCUCCCAAGGCCCUACAUGAUGAUGUUUUAGUAGCCACUUUUAUUCAGAGAUUUAAAUUUAUGAAAAGAGAAUCAUAAUGACAUCUUAAUUGCUCUGAAGGUGUCUUUUCAAAAGAAUUGUCACAGGAACAGUUCCUUCAGAGGAACAGAGAAAUCAAAGGUGUUUGGCUUUUUGUGAAAGAGUUGAGGAAAGCCUUCUGUCCUAGAAGUUAACAUUUAUGGAUCUCUCUGGCAAAUAAUAGUCUCCGUUUCAAGUCCAUUAUGUUUGAUGAGGAUUCAAAAAGUCUUAAUCGAAUCUAGCAGUCAUUGCUGCUUCUUUCUUUCCUAAUCUCCCUGAUUUUGAAUUAUGAGAUCUUUAUUUCUUAAAAUAAAACAUCAUUUGUUAAAGCCUUUUCAAAAUUAAGACUAAAACCAUCACAACUAAUUGUUUCUUGGCAUCAAAUAAACAAAUUUUUAAAGUUUGAUAAAUUGUUUGUAAGCUCUAAUCAAGUGGGUGGAGUCAUAAAAGAGGGGAGGGAACCCACUGAAACAAUAUAUGUAAUUUGUUUGCAUUAGUAUUUGAGAUAAUUAUAAAGCAAGUGUUCAAAAGCUGUCCUUUAUACCAGAAGGGGGAAAGAUAGGAGAGGAAAAGCAUAAGAACACCCAGCCAUUGUCAGCUGCUCUCUAAAAUAUUGCUGGAUUCACAAUUGUCGAACAUUAGCAUUACUAAGAAUGCCGGGAACAGAGUGUCACGUUGAAUGUAGAAUGAUGACUUCAUAGGAAGGCAAAGCUGAGGAUAUGACCAGUUUGCAGUCACAGAAAAAUCAGCUUUAAUUAAUUUGAGUGCCAGCUCUGUGUAUAAUUACACAGCAUGAGAGUUUGCAUGCAAAUGCAGAAAUGCUGAUUGUUCAAAUACUUGCACUUGCUCAUUAAUACGUUGGGACUAAGCAGGGCUGGCAAGCAGACAGGGUACGGCACACACGGUGCCUGCAGGCUAAUUUGUAUUAUACUGUAGUUAGCAAACAGAUUUCAGAUGUUUCUCCUUUCUUUAAAUAAUAAGCACAAAAAUAUGUAUGUCAUUUUCAUCGGUGACAUACCUUGUUUUCUUUUUGAUUAAAAUAAAAUGUUUUGGGUUUCUGCAAAAGUGUUGAGGGUACAUUAAACAUAACUAGAACACUGAUUUAUAACCAUUUGAUAUCAGUAACACUGAUGCCAGGUCUGGGAUAUUUCUAUUUGACAUUUCAUGUAAUUGUCCAAACUGAUCAUAUUUCAUAAUUGGUGAAACUAUAUUCAAACAAUAUAAGUUUAUGAUUAAAUCCCAUGGAUGAACAAAGGGAGAGACACAGCUGUAUUGCCUACUUGUCUGUCAAAUCCAGUAUCUUGUAGCCAGCAUUGGCUAGGUCCAGAAGCUUCAGUAGGACUGAUUUCUUUGUGAAAGUACCUAAUCCUAAAAUGUCCUGUGGUGAGAUUUUCCAUUCUGACCACUGAAUCUUUUCAGAGAUCAGCUUCAACCAAAUGCCCAACUACCUUGACAACACCCUAGGGGAAAAAGUCUGCCUAAAUCACUAUGCCAGGAACAUCUGACAAUUUAUUAAGGAAAUUGCAUUAAAAAAAAGGGAUUUGCCCAAGUUCUCCAAAUCUGGUACUACUAUCAAUGCUGUCAGUUUUCUUGCCAACAUUUCAAUGUGUUUCAGUUCUACAAAUAUUUAUACAGCACCCAUUUCUGUUAGACACUGGAAAGCAGAGGAUAUACCAUAGUAAGCCAGAUAGAUACAGUCUCUGCAUUGGCUAUCUCUUUUCUCCCAGGAAUUGUCUCAGGAAGGAACCUAACUCAGUUCCCUGGGAAAUACAUGCUUUUAGCAGUCAUUACCUUGGGGAAAACCCACAUUACAGAAACUUGAAUCUAUGGCCUUCCUUAAAUACAGUUUUCAUGGUCCUUCUGGGAGCCUGACUUGCUCUCUGAUAU